CGUCGGAGUCGCCCUCGCUUGGUCUCGGACAUGGCUUUCUGCUUCGACCUAAGCAUCCCCUUCCUCGAGGGUGACAGCGGAGGCGGCGGCGCGUCGUCGGAAAACAAGGCGCGGAAGGACGCUUGGCUGAAGGCGGUGGUGAGGGCCAUGGAGCUCGGCUACGCCGGCGUCCUGUCGGACGCGGACCGUUGCAAGAUCGCCCCCCCUUCCUUCUUUCCUCCCUCCUCAAGGCCUCCGUUGCCUUCCACCGCGACCUCCUCGGGGGCGCCCCCCUCGCCCCCCCCCUUCCGCCAUUACACCCGCUUGACUGUUUCUGCCCACGGCGGCGCCUUCACCGUUGCCCUCAACGGCAGCGCUCUGCUGAGGACCUACGACCUAGUUGCCCUACGCCCUUUGAACCAGGACGCGUUCGACGAGGCUUGUGAGUCAUCCGAGGUUGAUAUAAUUUCAAUGGAUUUCUCCCAAAAACUUCCCUUCCGUUUGAGGCUUCAAUCCAUUAAAGCAUGCUAUUCAGAUUCUGUGAGUAUGUUUAUUUUGUCAACUUGUUACAGUUCCUGAUUUUCUGUUCAGAUCUGCUUAUACUUUUCCUGCCUAUGUCUCAUGCAGCAUGGAUUAUAUUUUGAAAUAACCUACACUCAUCUUAUAGCUGAUGCUCAUGUUAGGAUGCAAAUCCUAUCAGAUGCCAAGGUGAAACCAUGCCGACCUACAAUUCUGUGGUUUGACAUGCUGCCAGCUUUUGUUCGAGGGAAUUGGCAGAGAAGACCUCCAAAGGGGAAAAAGUGGGAUCACCAGUGAUGUCUUACAGAGGAAGAAGCUAUAUUUUAAGUCUAGUUUGUAUAAAGCACCAUCCAAAAUAUAUCCUCGCUUAGUUCAUUCCGGCCGAAUCCUUCGAGUUCUACGACUGGUGGCCAUGUGGAUGGAUGUAUCGUUGAAGCAUCUAACUUGGCUUUUCAUGCUUGGUGGGCAAACUUUGGUCUGUAACAGGUCCAAGAACAUCCAAAGAUGAGUUACACGGAAUGCUGCCGCCUUCGAGUCACUUUAGU